rnacentral:rRNA from 1 species
GACGAACGCUGGCGGCGUGCUUAACACAUGCAAGUCGAACGAAGAGCGAUGGACGCUUGCUUCUAUCAAUCUUAGUGGCGCACGGGUGAGUAACGCGUAAUCAACCUGCCCUUCAGAGGGGGACAACAGUUGGAAACGACUGCUAAUACCGCAUACGAUCUAAUCUCGGCAUCGAGGAUAGAUGAAAGGUGGCCUCUACAUGUAAGCUAUCACUGAAGGAUGGGAUUGCGUCUGAUUAGCUAGUUGGAGGGGUAACGGCCCACCAAGGCGAUGAUCAGUAGCCGGUCUGAGAGGAUGAACGGCCACAUUGGGACUGAGACACGGCCCAGACUCCUACGGGAGGCAGCAGUGGGGAAUCUUCCGCAAUGGACGAAAGUCUGACGGAGCAACGCCGCGUGAGUGAUGACGGCCUUCGGGUUGUAAAGCUCUGUUAAUCGGGACGAAAGGCCUUCUUGCGAAUAGUGAGAAGGAUUGACGGUACCGGAAUAGAAAGCCACGGCUAACUACGUG